CUAGGGAGCUGUCCCAUUCAUCCUCCUCUCCGCCGCCACUAGCUCCACCUGGUCUCCCCCUUCCUCGGGAUCCCUGAUCCAAUCCAUCCACCCCACCCGGCCGAACCAACCAGCCACUCCUCUCGAUCCACCAACCACAGCGCCUCGUGCCUCCUCCUCCCUUGGGCCUGGACGCGUCCGGCCGCCCGCAGCCGUCGUCGUCCGCGCCUACAGGAGCUAGCAGCUGCAGCCCCGAGCCUCUGCUUCUUUCCCGCCGAGCCGCCCCAACCUGCUGGAGUCGUCUUUACCGGCAGAAAGCUAGCAGCGCCCGGAUCCAGGCCCGCAACGAGCGGAGCCCCGACGCCCGUCCGCUAGAGUGUGCCCCACCUCGACCUCGGCGGUGACCAUCGGCGCUGCCGCAGAUGAGCACCACCGUCCCUCAUCCUCCCUUCCUUUCUUUGUCUCCCUCCUAACCUCUUUUCCCUCUGACCAGCAACGACAGGAGCUCCAUCCCCGAACGCCAUGGUCGUGCCCCUUCGAAGCUUGCAGCUCCUCCGCCAGCCCGCCGCCGCUUUGAUCCAGCAGGGAACGGGCACAUCGGCGACCUCCUGCGACCGGAUCCUGCUCCUCCGACGCACCUUGGAGCAGCCACUGUGGCGCCGUUCCCCUCCGACCCCGUGCAGAUUCGAAGCCCUAGCAUCGGGGCCCGCUAUCUCCGUCGCUCUCUGGCCUCCCUGCCUGCAAGCGCCGCCAUCCCCUCGUCGUCAGCUGCAGGAGUAGCGCGGCCCCUCCUUCUGUUCAAGCAAGGGAGACGAGCGCGUGCCUGCAUCCUCUGCAUCGCGCGGUGCUGCGCCUCUGCGUGCCCGUUGACUCCGCCCGAGCCGCUGUCUCGCUUGCCGCGGCCCAGGAUCCAGUAACCGGCCCAGCCUCCCGAAGCCUAGCCGCUUCUUUGCUUCCAGCCCAGUGGCCCGAUGUGAGCAGCCGCCUAAACCCCUCCUGUGCACCGCUGGCCCAGCCAGUUUCGGCCCGUGUCGUUUUUUCCCAGAUCUGCGAUUUUGUCCAUUAUCCAGAGUAUUGCAGUUUAAAAGAAAACCCCUCAUGUUCAUGCAUUAAUAAUUAAUUAACCGUGCAUCUUUUGUAAAUAAUUUAUAUAUGAAAGAUGCUUAGAAUUU